GGUAUGGCUGUUCGCCAUUUAAAGCGGUACGCGAGCUGGGUUCAGAACGUCGUGAGACAGUUCGGCCUCUAUCCUCUGUGGUUGUAGGAAUUUUGAUGGAAGCUGCCCCUAGUACGAGAGGACCGGGGUGGACAAACCUCUAGUGUAUCUGUUGUCGUGUCAACGGCAUCGCAGAGUAGCUAUGUUUGGACCGGAUAACCGCUGAAAGCAUCUAAGUGGGAAGCCGCUCCAGAGAAAAAGUUCCCUAUGAACCCGCCCGUAGACUACGGGUUUGAUAGGUCUCAGGUGUAAGCACAGAGAUGUGUUCAGCCGAGAGAUACUAAUGGGUCAUUGAUUUAUUUUU
rnacentral:rRNA from 1 species